AGGAGCCUGCCCUCUUGAGCUCUUGUGGUGACCUGGGAAUCAAUGUGUGAGGUGGUGCUAUGUAGCAGGAACCCCUCUUGCUUUGCAAAUAGUUUUUUGUUUGUUUUCCUUUUUGCCCAAUAGAGCCCUGCUCUACUGACCCUUCAAUGUGCCCGUGUGCCUAAAUAUUCCUGGUCGUGUGAAAAGAACCCAGGUAUUAGCUGAACUAAGGAGCACAAUUCUGCAACAUUUUGGCACCCAAACACGGGGCUUGAGAAAUGAAUGCAAUUGGAGAAACUGGUUGUUUUACCAGGCGUUGAUUGGAAAUGUGUGCUUCCCUUUAAGCAGUCAAGCUCAACUUGCAGAACUGAUGGGAACCCCUUGGGAAAACUGGCCUCAAAUGUUUGUCUACACAGUCCACAUACAGGGUUCUUAACCUGCGAUGAGGGAAACUUCCCAGGGCUUGUCUGGGUAUGCCCACAGUGGACUGGAGCCCAAAAUGCACACUGGAGGAAGUGGAUGGAGCCACGUGGAUGUCAUGCCUUAUGCAGGGGAGGAGCCUGCUCUCUUCAGCUCCUGUGGUAAUGUGGGAAUCGAUCUGUGAGAUUGAAACUCCCACAACUUUGGCAGACCAACUCCUCAGAAAACAUUAUUCUUUGACAUCAAUAUGUUUUGCACAAAAUUGAAUGGCAAGUGAAAGGCAUCAAAUGCAUAUUUAACUAUCCGGCUAUUUUGGAGAUUGAAAAAAGAAGACCUGAUUUAUCAUGUGCAAUAUCUCACACAUCUGUCAUUUCUAUUCUACCGCAAUUCGGUGAGUUCAGCCUCUUUUUACUUCAUGUUUGAAUAAUCGCAAUAGAUUUUAUACUGUUCUCACUGCUAAACUUGCUCCCCCUAUUACCCUACAGACACUCAUAUUCAUCUUGCAUAAUACCACCAGAUUAUUCUUUGUCCAUCUAUUUUCCUAGAUAUUUGUCCUCCACUUUCCUGUCUUUUUUUCUGCACUUCAUUCUACCCAUCUUAGUGAAUAGACAUCUUUUCAACUCUCUCAGGCUAUAUAUACAUCAAUUUUUCAAAAUCCAAGUAAAACUUCACGUCCUUGAGAGAAUUUUAGAGAGCGUGUAAUACCUACAUUUUUUUUUACCAUUUAUUAGGAAUAUAUCUCAGCCCCAGUUAUGUGAUUAUUACAUAUUAUAGUAUAUUAAUGUUUGCAAACUCCUUGUAAAAUCAUACACACCCCAUACUGCUAUAUUCAUUUCAAUAGCAAAACAGUUUCUUUUCAAUUUUGUAAUAAAUAUAUUAAGAUCCUGUCCUCCUCCAGGCCAAUUUUCUUCCCCUAUAUUUAAAGUGCUCUGAUGGAGGUAACUUAUUAAUAAUUUGAGCCUAAAACAGCUUUUCAAAUAUGCAUUUCAUUUUUGCACACCAAGCUGGUGUGUGCCUGCAGGCGCUAUUUCUAUUAAGUGAACAGCUGGAUAUUGUGUAGUGGAUUGACCAGGUGUUUGAGUGAACUCAUUAGUCACCAUAUAGAAGCAACUUAAAAGAAUGAGUCACAGUGAUAGUCAUCUCACUUUGGGAAAAGGAAAAGAAAUAAAUAAAAAUGUUUCAUAUCUAUCAGACAGCCACAAAGCACAGUCCCUAUCAACAGGAGCAAAUUCAAAUAAAAAUGGCCCCACCAUACAUAUUUUAUUUGAUUUACAUCUAGCACUGAAGAUAUACUUUAUGAAUUUUUCCUUUAUUCUGACAGUCAUAAAAUAAACGGAGGUGAAUCAUAUAACUUUUGAAUAUCUACAUAGCCAGAGAUAAACUCUGCAUAUUAAAUAUCUUCCAAUAUUACAUCUACCAAAAAACAUAGCAGAGGUCAUAUUUAUGUUGCAACUGAGAAAACACUCAAAUUAUUUAAAGAGAAAAUUUAAAUACUUUACUAAAAUUCACAUUAAAUUCUGAAUUUUACAUGGGUUUAUGUGGCUCUACCAUUCAUACUGUUGAACUUCUGAGUUAUUAAUAUUUACAAAUAACCCAUGUUCUUUCAAAUGAUUCCAAUGCUUACAGAAACACAUAUAAAAGUACAUACAAUGAAAUAAAACUGUGGCAAUGUAGAAAAAUGAAAACUAUAAUAUGACAACGCAAUGAAGCCAGAGUUAAUGUGAGCACAUGAAAUGAAAUCCUAACAUUUUCUCUUCAGCUUUGUCUCUGUGUCUUACUAUGCUAAUGUAGGUAAUAAGCAGUAUUGAUAGCUGGAAGAAGUAAAUUAGCACAUGAAAAGAACCUUGAUUAUUAUUUGUGCAAUUCCUGGAGUCCACUGAUACUUACCAACUCUUAAAGCUUAGAUCUAGGGUAUCCAAACACUGCUUCCUUUCCAAGAAGGAAACAUACAAAAAAACUAAGGCAGCAUGCUCUAAUUCUUUUUUUCUUUUUUUUCUUUUUUAGAUGGAGUCUUGUUCUGUGGUCCAGGCUAGAGGGCAGUGGCAUGAUCUCGGCUCACUACAAGCUCUGCCUCCCGGGUUCACGCCAUUCUCCUGCCUCAGCCUCCUGAGUAGCUGGGACUACAGGCGCCCGCCACCACGCCUGGCUAAUUUUUUGUAUAUUUACUAGAGAUGGCUAGUGUUAGCCAAGAUGGUCUCGAUCUCCUGACCUCGUGAUCUGCCCACCUCAGCCUGCCAAAGUGCUGGGAUUACUGGCGUGAGCCACCGUGCCUGGCCAGCAUCCUCUAAUUAUUAUUCAUAGUUUGUGAAUUUAGGCCUACGUGAAUAAUAAUAUAAUAUUUACUAUGAUGUUACUAUCUACCAACCUUAUUUUUCUUUUCUAUAAAAUAGGAGCCAAAAUAAUAUUUAUGUCAUACCUUAUGAAGUUAAAAUAAAAUAUAACGAAUGAGGGGCUUAACAAUGAGUGUCAUUUUGUAAUUACUUUGUACCAUUAUUAAUUGCUGAGACAGAAUAUGGUAUCACUAGUCAUCUGUAUCUAUUGCACAACUUUAUUUUGAUUCAUUCCUUACUAUUUUGCAUAGAUAGGCCUAAAUUUUUGAUCCACUGCUCAACUCCUGUCUUUAAACCAUUGGUUCUCAAAUAGAGUUGAUUUUGACACCUAGGGAACAUUUGACAACAUAUGGAGAUAUUGUUGAUUUUACAGGGCAACCCUUCAUAAGCACAGAAUUAUCUGGCCCCAAAUGUCGACAGUGUCAAGUUCGAGAAACUCUGCACUAGGCUUUUCUGUCUGGUUACUCACCCCUCUUCUUUGCACUGCCCCCAGUUUUAUGGAUAUUGAAUUCCUGAUUUCUCACUAUAUUAAUUGCACUUAUAGAUAUUCUAAAUUGAUUUGUAUAUAUCUUCCUAGUUUGACCCAUUGCUUUUAACUGAAUUUUACUGGGCUUUUAUAAAGGCCAUUUCCAUGGAGUUUAGUCAUUAUCUUCACCAAAUUUUUAUUUGCUUCAGUCUGGGGAGGAACUCUAUAUUAAAAAAUAAAAACAAACCCAAAAACUAAUUUAUGAAAGACAUUUUAUAAUGUAAUUACUUAAACAUUUUUUUUCUUCUUUCUCAUACGAUCUUUUAAAUUCAGUGAGUGACAUGUGGUUUUCAGGCUGGGUCAGGAAGUUUGCUUGGACGGGGAAAUUCUGUCUGCUGAGACACUAGGGGAGCAAAUGCCUAUGUGGGCACAGGCUGGUCACUGACCUCCUAGGGUUCCCUGACAAUAAAUUAGUCCUAGUUGAGGUCGCCAUCAUCAGAACUUAAUUGGUCCCUGGUACUGGUGAAUCUCUGCACCACAGAGACUAAUCAGUUACAGAACUCAGCUUCUGGGCAUAGGCAACCUUUUCUGUUUUUUCAAUUUUUUGUCAGCAAAGUUGAGAAAAUGAACACACUCAAACAGCCCAUUUCUUAGCUUAUCAAUAUCCGUACCCACUUCUUUCCCUCAUCAACAUGUAUUUUCCAUAUUUUGUUGGUAUUAACCUCUGACACUCAUCCACACAAGAAAGUCUACAAAGCCUAAACUAACUUUUAAACAUUAUUUAAGGUAAUAGCUUUGUCUUCCACCAGAAACCUGGCGACAUUUUUAAAAGGAUUUGAAGAGAUAUAUACCCGAGGGACAGAGAGAAAAAUUAGUGCUGACCAGUCUGGGCCUACUUGACUAACACAAAAUAGAUUAAAUUAAUAAAAACAAGAUGUUCUGCAUUUAUAAACAUGUUAACUCUUUUUAAUGUGUAUGACUCAUUAAUGAGUUCAUAAUUAGAUUUUGAAGGAUUUCAUUCUGGACCUUGCAGAUUGUAUGUAUCUUUCUGGUAAAUUAGGAAGUAUAAUUUUUCAAUAAAAAAGCUCACUGGAAACCCCUGUAACAAGUAAUAAAUAUUUAAAAUUUGCAGAAAUGUUUACUUAUUCAAUAAAUACUGACUCCACAUUAAGAAAUGCUAGAGAUAAAGCAUUUCUAAAGGCAAAUUCUACUGUUUCCUGGUUUUACAUUCUAGAUUUUAAGACAAAGAUGGCUGCCUUGAAAUUUUAGUUAUGUGAAAGAAAUUUCGUAAUGAUAUAACUUUUUCUUACUCUGACUCUGUGAGACUUUUGUUUAUAUUUUAUGAAACUAUUUCUAUAGCACAUGUUAUAUAAAUAUAUUUGAGAAAUCAUUUUUAGCUUUCAGAAAUUAGUUUGCUUAAUACAUUUUAAUUUUAAUAAAGCUCCAUUCCUCUAGUCCUUUCAUAUCUGGAAUAUAUUUCCUAUACAAUAUCUUCUAUAUUAUUUAAUACUGCUGUUUUUUAAAAGAGAAAUUGAAACCUUUUACUCAUAUAUACCAGACUUCCAAAACUGUCUUGGUUUGAAAAUCAGUUCUCCAAAAUACUUUCUCUAACUUAACUUUAUAUCUUAGGUGCAAAUACAAUCCUGAUAAAUACUAUAGUCAGGCAUUUUAAAAACUUUAUGUUUCCCAUAUACUCAGCAGAGUAUCAUCUUCUUGCCCUUUCCCUCACUAUGGUAUCCUUCAAGAACUUAUUAGCUCAAAUUCCAAAUCCUCAAUGAAACAAUCAUCUAUCAAUUUCAUAAUUCACUGUUUUAUUCAAUAAAUAUUUAGUGAAUGAUUUCUGUGUGUCAGGAGUGUAUUGGGAGCUUGGGGACAAAGUGGUGGGCUAGAUAGGCAU
rnacentral:lncRNA from 1 species